GAUGAACGCUGGCGGCGUGCCUAAUACAUGCAAGUCGAGCGAACGGACGAGAAGCUUGCUUUUCUGAUGUUAGCGGCGGACGGGUGAGUAACACGUGGAUAACCUACCUAUAAGACUGGGAUAACUUCGGGAAACCGGAGCUAAUACCGGAUAAUAUUUUGAACCGCAUGGUUCAAAAGUGAAAGACGGUCUUGCUGUCACUUAUAGAUGGAUCCGCGCUGCAUUAGCUAGUUGGUAAGGUAACGGCUUACCAAGGCAACGAUGCAUAGCCGACCUGAGAGGGUGAUCGGCCACACUGGAACUGAGACACGGUCCAGACUCCUACGGGAGGCAGCAGUAGGGAAUCUUCCGCAAUGGGCGAAAGCCUGACGGAGCAACGCCGCGUGAGUGAUGAAGGUCUUCGGAUCGUAAGACUCUGUUAUUAGGGAAGAACAUAUGUGUAAGUAACUGUGCACAUCUUGACGGUACCUAAUCAGAAAGCCACGGCUAACUACGUG
rnacentral:rRNA from 1 species